rnacentral:rRNA from 1 species
GAUGAACGCUGGCGGCGUGCUUAACACAUGCAAGUCGAACGGAAAGGCUCCUGCUUGCAGGGGUACUCGAGUGGCGAACGGGUGAGUAACACGUGGGUGAUCUGCCCUGCACUUCGGGAUAAGCCUGGGAAACUGGGUCUAAUACCGGAUAGGACGAUGGUUUGGAUGCCAUUGUGGAAAGUUUUUCGGUGUGGGAUGAGCUCGCGGCCUAUCAGCUUGUUGGUGGGGUAAUGGCCUACCAAGGCGUCGACGGGUAGCCGGCCUGAGAGGGUGUACGGCCACAUUGGGACUGCGAUACGGCCCAGACUCCUACGGGAGGCAGCAGUGGAGAAUAUUGCACAAUGGGGGCAAGCCUGAUGCAGCGACGCCGCGUGGGGGAUGACGGCCUUCGGGUUGUAAACUCCUUUCGAUAGGGACGAAGAGCAAGUGACGGUACCUGGAGAAGAAGCACCGGCUAACUACGUG